AUUGAACGCUGGCGGCAUGCUUUACACAUGCAAGUCGAACGGUAACAGGCCUUCGGGUGCUGACGCGUGGCGCACGGGUGGGUAAUGCAUCGGAACGUGCCCUGGCGUGGGGGAUGACGCAGCGACAGCUGUGUGACUACCAUAUGUGAUCUGAGGAUGAAAGCGGGGGACCAGGUAGCAAUGUUUGGCCUCGCGCCUUUGGAGCCGCCGAGGUUCGAUUGGUUAGUUGGUGGGGUAAAGGCCUACCAAGCCGCCGAUCUGUAGCUGGUCUGAGUGAACGGCCGGCGGCAUGGGAGGGUGGACGGGGACCAGGCGCCUACGAGAGGCAGCAGUGGGGAAUGUUGGGCAGUGGGGGCAAGCCUGAUCCAGCAGUGGCAAGUGCGGGAAGGAGGCCUUCGGGGUGUAAACCGCUUUUGUACGGAACGAAAAGGUUCUGGCUAAUACCUGGGGCGGGUGACGGUACCGGAAGAAGAAGCACCGGCUAACUACGUG
rnacentral:rRNA from 1 species